rnacentral:rRNA from 1 species
CCUACGGGUGGCAGCAGUGGGGAAUAUUGCGCAAUGGGCGAAAGCCUGACGCAGCGACGCCGCGUGAGGGAUGAAGGUCUUCGGAUCGUAAACCUCUGUCAGCAGGGAAGAACGGUCACUGUGCUAAUCAGCAGUGAAUUGACGGUACCUGCAAAGGAAGCACCGGCUAACUCCGUGCCAGCAGCCGCGGUAAUACGGAGGGUGCGAGCGUUAAUCGGAAUUACUGGGCGUAAAGCGCUCGUAGGCGGUAUGUCAAGUCAAGGGGGAAAUCCCCGCGCUCAACGUGGGAACUGCCUUCGAAACUGGCAAACUGGAGUGUGUGAGAGGAAAGUGGAAUUCCAGGUGUAGGAGUGAAAUCCGGAGAUAUCUGGAGGAACAUCAGUGGCGAAGGCGACUAUCUGGCACAUAACUGACGCUGAGGAGCGAAAGCGUGGGUAGCAAACAGGAUUAGAUACCCGGGUAGUC